rnacentral:rRNA from 1 species
CAGCCGCCGCGGGAAUACGGAGGGAGCUAGCGUUGUUCGGAAUCACUGGGCGUAAAGCGCACGUAGGCGGCUACUCAAGUCAGGGGUGAAAGCCCGGGGCUCAACCCCGGAACUGCCUUUGAAACUAGAUAGCUUGAAUCUUGGAGAGGCGAGUGGAAUUCCGAGUGUAGAGGUGAAAUUCGUAGAUAUUCGGAAGAACACCAGUGGCGAAGGCGACUCGCUGGACAAGUAUUGACGCUGAGGUGCGAAAGCGUGGGGAGCAAACAGGAUUAGAUACCCGCGUAGUCCCUGUCUCUUAUAC